UACGGGGGGAGCAAGCGUUGUUCGGAUUUACUGGGCGUAAAGGGCGCGUAGGCGGCCACCGCAAGUCGAUUGUGAAAUCUCCGGGCUUAACCCGGAAAGGUCAACCGAUACUGCGGGGCUAGAGUGCAGAAGGGGCAACUGGAAUUCUCGGUGUAGCGGUGAAAUGCGUAGAUAUCGAGAGGAACACCUGCGGCGAAGGCGGGUUGCUGGGCUGACACUGACGCUGAGGCGCGCAAGCUAGGGGAGCGAACGGG
rnacentral:rRNA from 1 species